ensembl:lncRNA
GUGAGUAUUGCACUUAGCGGUUGGUUCUGUGAUUCUUUUUUAAGAAACUUUUUAAGCUGGGCAUGGUGGUGCAUGUCUGUAAUCCUAGCACUUGGGAGGCUGAGGCAGGAGGAUUGCCACAAGUUUGAGGCCAGCCUGGGCUACACAGCAAGACCCUGUUUCAAAAAACCAAAAAAAAAUUUUCAGUAAGCUUUUCUAACUUUGAAGAGGCCCAGAAUAGGGGUUGUUCAUAUUUAAAAAAUGGUGGGCCGGGGAUUUAGCUCAGUGGUUUUGCCACCUGCUGCGCAAGCUCAAGGACCCGAGUUCGAUCCCUGGUACCAAAAAAAAGGUGAUAAAAUGCAGCAAAAUGUACUACCUUGGCCCUUUCAAAGUAUUCAGUUUUGCGUUAAGGACAUUCACAUUGUUGUGCAGCCAAUCUUUGGGUUUUCUGGUGUUAAAAUUUCUCCUUCCAUCAAAGGUAUGUUUGUAAUAGCAUGAUUCUUUGGGUUGUAAGGGACAGAAAUUCUCAUUUAAACUGGCUUUUCAAAAGGUAGGAGAGACUUUAUUGGCUUAGGGAACCAAUGUUGAACAGUCGUGGGGCUGUUUCAGAUAUUGCUAGAUCCAGGUGCUCAAAAAUCAUGAGAAGUUUUUCUUUGCCAGAGUACCCCUUUCCUGCAGUCUGUCCUUUUCCCUCUCUCCCUGGUCCACUUUCUUCUCUGUUGGCCUGGUUUGAGGCAGGCUCAUUGUCCUCAUGGGGGGCUUCACCAAUUCCUCCCGGGGCUGCUCAGCUCUGCUCAGCAGCCUUUUGAAGGAGGCCACCUCUUUCUUGGGGCUCUGGCAAAAACUCAGACUCACUCUCGUGGGCUGACCUGGGGUCAUGCUGUUUUUUUGGCGUGGGGUGGUAGUGGUGGUGGGAAUCAAACCCAGGGUCCCGUACAUUCUAGGCAAUCACCCUGCCACUGAGUUAUUGGCCCCACAAAGGGCUUGUUUUAGAGCCAGGACUUGCUGUGUACGCAGACAGGUCUUGAACUCCUGGGCUCAAGGGAUCCUCCUACUUUAGCCUCCCAAUAGCUGGGACUACAUGCUUCCUUUUUUUUUUCCCCCCCCCUGCUAGCCCUGGGUUCAAUCCCCAGUGUUGCUCAAAACAAAAACAAAAAAAAGGGCUGGGGAUUUAGCUCAGUGGUUCCGGCACCUGCCUCACAAGCACAAGGUCCUGGUACCAAAAAAAACAAAAAAAAAAGAUUCCAAAAACAAAAAUGGUUUUUUAACAGAGGAAACUGGAAAUCUCGCGGAUUCAUCUAACCGGUGGUAGCUUUUCUUUCAGUGAGGCCAAAGGCUACUGAGAAGGUAGGGCCUUGUUAAGGGUGUGGUUUGUGGCUGCCACCCACCUCUGCCCUCAGCCCUGUGUUCAGAGGCCUGGUUUGGCUGGCUCCAUGCUGGUCCUCCCUGGCCUCCCAGAAUGCUGGGGCCACCGGACAACUCACUGGAGACUCGGCGGCUUCAACAAGAGAAAUUCUGUGUCUCACAGUUCUGGAGGCUGCAAGUGUUUGAGCCCAGGGCCUUUGCACUGAGUUACAUAUGUGGCUUUUAAAAAAUUUGACUCACUAAAGUUGCUCAGGCUGGCUUUGAACUUUUGAUCCUCCUGCCUCAGCCUCCCAGGUAGCUGGGAUGUCUGAGAUCAGAUGUUGGCAGGACUGGCUCCUACUGAAGGCCACAAGGACCAGUCUCCUGGACUUGUGGAUGGCCAUCCUUGCCCUGUAUCUUUCUGUGUGCUUGUCUUUGUCUUCAGAUUUCCCUCCAGCCAUGUUGGAUUCAGACAGCCCCAAUGGCUGCCUUUAGCUUGGUCACCGAGUCUGCUCCCAUUGUGACGUACCAGGGGUCAGUCUGACAGCGACCUACAGGAGUGGGUGGGGUCUGCUUCCCUGUGGCCUGUUUUAAUAAGUAUAUAUGAGGUGUGAACACAGCAAAAGACACAUUGCCAUGAAUCCCCUCAGAAGCCCCCGCCAGCUUUGAAUACACUUACCCACUUUGUCCUUGCCACUUUCAGAAGCGGUUCUGGAACUCAUCUUUCUUGAGUGUCUUUACUUGCGCCCUUGUGGGUGCCUCAAUAUCCUGGUUUGAUUGAAAACAUUUCCCUUUCAUGGUCAUUUUGACUUUGGGGAGGAGCUAGAAGUUGGACGGUGCCAGAUCCGGUGAAUAAGGUGGAUGAGGACACAGCGUCAUGUUUUUACGAGGCUGCCUUUCCCUCCUUGGACAGCACUCGGCAGGACUAUUCACUGUAUCCUUUUUUGUUUUGGUACCGGGGAUCGAACUCGGGACAUUGUGCUUGCGAGGCAGGCGGCAGAACCACUGAGCUAAGUCCCCGGCCCUAUUCACUGUAUUCUUAAUCACACCUCGUAAGGACAUGAGACGACUUCCUGAAUUCCAGAUAGUGGCAAGAACAAUGGGAUGAGUAUGUUGGAAGCAAAGGAAGUAUUUUAAGGGGUCAUAAUGCCCCUAUCUAUAUGUCUUGCUGUAAUACAUUUUUAAAUUGUAAGCAUUCACUAUAUAUUUUGAUCAUCUCGUAUAUGAGCAAAACCAGUGAUUGUCAACUAGGGCGCUUCUGCCCCCCAGGGGACAGUGGCGGUACAUUUCGUCUGUCACAGCUUCAGGGGUGCACUGCUGACAUCUAGUGGGAGAGGCUGGGGGACUGCUCAGGUCCCACAAUGACAGCCCUGCAGACCACCGCCCGGCCCCAGAGCAGCAGCGUGGGGCUCAUGGUCCCAUUGUAAAUGUCCACCUUCCAGAAUGGGGAUCAGUGACAGAGAAGAGAAUUUUCCCUUCAAACACAGGCAUAACAGGCGCAACAAUGGAUCAUAUUUUGGGUCAGAGGAAAGUGUCAGUUUAAUUUGGUGGAGGUGGAACCUUGCUCCCUUCUGCUGCUGGCUCUGGUUGGAGCGACCGUUCUGGACGGUGGGGAAUGGUUCUCAGCAGAAACCACAUCUUGCCCGGGAAUCACCUCAGUUGGGGGUUUCCUAUCACUGGCUGUGUCUCUCCUUGCACUGGGGGAGAAAAUCAAAAGCCUGGUGUGGGGGCGCACACCUGUAAUCCAGCGUUCUGGAAGGCUGAGUCAGGAGGACCUCAAGUUGGAGCCCUGCCUGGGCGACUUAGUGAGACCCUGUCUCAAAAAAUAAAAGGGAUUAGGGAUGUAGCUCAGUGAGAAUGCCCUGGGUUCCAUCUUCAGUAUUGGGGAAAAAAAAAAAAUCAGGGCCAGGGAUUUAGCUCAGUGGUCCCACUGCCUUCCUCACAAGCGCCAGGUCCCGAGUUCAAUCCCUGGUACCAAAAAAAGCCAAAAACAAAACAAUCUGAACGACAGGAGUGGUGAUUUUUACACUAAUUAAAACUCAUUAGCACAAGAAAAUUCUACUCUGCUGUUAAGUUUUUCUAAAUAAAACACUAGUGUUUUAUUUUGUUUGAGACAGGGUCUUGCUGUGCAAUUCAGGCUGGCCUUGAACUCAGUAUGUAGCCCGGGUUGGCCUAGAACUCCUGGCAAUCCUCCUGCCUCAGCCUCCUGAGUGCUAGGAUUACAGGUGUGCGUCGCUAAGCCUGGCUGGAGUUUUUGACCUUCAGAAAUGGUGAUUUUUCACAGGGGAUGUUGAGGCAGGAGGAUCUUUGGGAGUUCGAGGCCAGCCUUGGCUACAUACUGAGUUCAAGUCCAGCCUGAAUGAGAAUGAGGCAGACCUGUUUGUUGUGGGAUGGCAGAGACAGGAAGCGGAGAAAGUGAAGUGUGAUGUGCGAUAAUGUAUUGGUGACUGUUUUACGUUUCCCAGGGUGCCUGUGUGUGUUGGGGUAUCAUUACCCACAUGUAAGCGUUUCUGGAACCACUGGACAGUGACUGUACAGUCAGCAGCCUCCCCAGGGAGGGCCUGCCUGGUGGGCGGAAGAGGGCUUUCCUUCCUCCACAUCUUUGUGCUUGCUUGUGUUGUGUUGUGUUCUUUUUUUUGCUACUGGGGGUUGAACUUGGGUCCUUGCUAGCUUCUUUUUUCUGAUGAUGGGAGCUAUGUGUAGUCACUGUGGAAAAGUGAGGAGUGCUCCGCGCCUAGAAAGGACCUUUUGGCCUGUGGUGACUCUGCUGUGUGCUCCAUGCUCCUACAUACGGUAUGGGCUGGCACCAGGCUGCACGGUGCGUCUCACCUCUCUGAUCCUCUUAGUGC